rnacentral:rRNA from 1 species
ACUACGGGUGGCUGCAGUGGGGAAUAUUGCACAAUGGGCGCAAGCCUGAUGCAGCCAUGCCGCGUGUGUGAAGAAGGCCUUCGGGUUGUAAAGCACUUUCAGCGGGGAGGAAGGCGUUAAGGUUAAUAACCUUGGCGAUUGACGUUACCCGCAGAAGAAGCACCGGCUAACUCCGUGCCAGCAGCCGCGGUAAUACGGAGGGUGCAAGCGUUAAUCGGAAUUACUGGGCGUAAAGCGCACGCAGGCGGUCUGUCAAGUCGGAUGUGAAAUCCCCGGGCUCAACCUGGGAACUGCAUUCGAAACUGGCAGGCUAGAGUCUUGUAGAGGGGGGUAGAAUUCCAGGUGUAGCGGUGAAAAGCGUAGAGAGCUGGAGGAAUACCGGUGGCGAAGGCGGCCCCCUGGACAAAGACUGACGCGCAGGUGCGAAAGCGUGGGGAGCAAACAGGAUUAGAUACCCUAGUAGUC